rnacentral:lncRNA from 1 species
CUCCUACAGAGCAUUCCCUGUCUCAGAUGCCUCUGUGUCGAAGAAGGCAGCUGCCAAGGGAUGCACUGCUGGCUCUGCCCUGAGUUCUGCGUCAUCCUGGAGUUACCGAUGUGGUGCAGGGAGGAGGGUUGGCUGCUGAGAACGCUAUACCUUGCCAAAAUGACCGGGGAUGAGCAACAAGCCAGCUCGAUGGUGCCCCCAGUCUUCAAGCAACCAGAACUACUUCUGAACAUGGUGCAGCACGAAUGUUUUCUCCUAACACUGUUCACACUGCUUACCAACCUAUGAAGACCUUUUGCUGCAAGCUCACAAAGGCUUCCUGACAUCUGGA